rnacentral:lncRNA from 1 species
CGGUGACAAAGUAAGGGCGUGGGGGGAGGGGCGGUGAGUUGACUGGGUUGUUUCAUGCGAACAUGUACAGUUACUCUUUUUAGUUCUUGUUAUGUUCUUGGUGUAAAGCUUGCAGAAAAGUAUCAGUCCUUAAGUUAUAAUUAGUCUAUUGGGUAUGAAUAGGGCCAACAAUAACAACCUGAAGGCUAAAAAGGGAGUAUCUUCUGUGACAGUGACCUCUCCUUCAGUGUUUAAUUAGGUACGCCACCUAACAUGGCGAUGUGGGCAAAACAGUCUCAGUCCUGUGACAUUCUGCUUACUUUACUGCUCCUUAAAGCAAACUUUUAAUGAUCUAUCUGGGUGUCAAUAGAAAAAACAAACAAACAAAAAAACAAAACAAAACCAUAAACCCUUCAGCAACAAGGCAAACACCUCUCUUCCCCCUCCUGCCAGGCCCUGCCAUGGGCCCCGUGGCCUGCCCAGGCCCCAGCCCUGUCAGGUGAUGGGGAGCUGACUGUGGAGGUUUCCUUCCGUUGGUCCUGCUGGCUGGUAACAUUUACGUUAGUACUGCUGAGCUGGUGUAAUGCAAGGAAGGACACAUCAUGAAAUGGAAACAUUAUCCUUUUUUGGUCAUAGUAGCUGCAUGCAGCCUUUCCAGAUGUCAUCACUUACUGGGUCAGCUUAUUCCAGGCACUUGGAUUAUGGCUGCUGUGUGAACAGAUCAUUUCGGUGCGUAGGCUGUGGAUCUGGUACUUGGCUUGAUGUUUUUGCUGGGAUGGAGGAGAGGAGCUAGAGAUCAGGUGAGAUCUGUCUUGGGGAACAGCAGGAUGAGCGGAGAGGAGGGUUAAGUUGGAGCCUGUCCUUCUGCCCCACCUUCUGCACUGCUCCUUCGGCCCUUUUCCAGCCCUUCAGCACCUGAUGGCACCAAAGAAACAGCAGCAGCAGAUGUGCAGUGAUCUGGAAGUUUCUCCCAUCUCCUUCUGGUUACAUUACACCUUUUUAUCCACAGCCAUCUUUUGAUCUAUGCCCAGGCCGUCUCCCUUCAGAAAGUAGAAGAGUAACAAAUUCCACAGAGGGUGGGUUUUUGUUUUUUUUUUUUGUGUCCCCUUCCAUAGUGUCCACUGCAGAUAGUAGAGGGAGUAGACUUUCCAUGGCUGGCACUUCUUGUUUAGUUUUGUUGGUGCUCAGGAAACUAGCGAAUACAAGAGGGGCCAAUAAGUAAUGCAUUAUUGCUGCUCCAUUGCAGGCUAAAGCUGUCUGAACUUGUGUUACUACAAAGCAAAACACACUGAAAUAAAUUAUUGUAUUAAAUAGCUCUUGGUAAUACC